GGAACCGUGGUUCAGUGGUCCAGCAUCUGCUUUGUAGGCAGAAGGUCCCAAGUUCAGUCUUUGGAGUUUCCA
rnacentral:tRNA from 1 species